GAAGUUGCAGCAAAUUGAGAUGCUGGAAAUGAAGCAAUCUAAUGGGCAUCUUCUCGAUGACCAGCAGCUUGCAAAACUUCAAACAAGGUUGGCUAUUGAAAGUUCACUUGCUGAGCUAGGUCUUCCAGUUCAGACGGAGCAGGCAAAUGCAUCAUUUGCAGUUUCAUCAGAUGUAAAAUGGAAUAAAAAGGCUGAGGUAUCAA
rnacentral:misc_RNA from 1 species